AAAAAACUACAACUUCGAUGAUGGGGAUGUCUCGUCUGGAUCGUCACGUUAAAGCUUUUAGUCUAUUCGUCAGCGUUGCGCAACGCACAUUGGCUUUUUUUUACAAUCCCGUUUAUUGAAACUCCGUAGUGAAAAUUAUUAUUUGGCUAACAGUUUUCCAUAUAAUUGUAAAUACCGCAUUUAUUCAGAUUAAUAAGGUAUGAAUUAUAAUAUUGUUAUUGUGUACAUAAUACCUACAGUUUUAAUUAAUUUUUAGAUAAGUAAUUAUAUACAAUUUUUAAAAGACAUAUAUUGGUGACCGGUCAAUUUAUAGUCGCGAUGGGAUAUUUAUUUUUCGAAACAAUAUUUUAAAAUUAAAAAUUCUACAAAUUAAUUAAAUUUUAAAAUUUCAAAAAAUUAUUUACCCAAAUUAAUAUAAAUUAUUAUUAUACAAUAUACAAUAUACCUACGUAGAAGGUAUAUUAAUUUCAAUAUUAAAAUCUUCAUGAUUUAUUAAUUAUAUCUAGUUUCACUAUAUUAAAUUAUACUUAUUAUAGUAAUUGCUAUUACUAGUAUAAUUAAAUUAUUUAUUUAUCAUAUUUAAGUAAAUAAAUAAUUAAACAUAAUUGUCAGUUAAGUCUGAUAUUGUGUGAAAUAUUUAUAUUAAAUAUUGGAUUACCUAUAUAGUUUAAUCUAACGUUUUUACGCAAGUUUUGUAUAAUAAAGUUUUUUUCCGCCGUUUUCUAUAGUUUAUCCUAUAAAAUUGCAUGUAUAAUAUAAAUACGUUUAAAGUAACACUGUACCUAUAAUAAUUAAUUAUUAUUAUUAUAAUGAGAAAAUACGUGAAUACAUUUUAAAACUAUUUUUCGGUCUUUUUUUAAAUUUGUCGAUCACUAAUUGAAUAUUUGAUUAUAAUCUGAAGUGCUGCUAUUGUAGUAUAACUACAAUAUUUGUUUGAUAGCAUAAUAGUCAAUGAAAAACCGAAACAAUAAUAAUAUGGUAACAUUUAACUUUUUAAGAUUUUAUUUUUUUUUUUUUAAAAGAACAUUGUAUUUUUGAUAGUACGAUACAUUAAGUUAAUAGUAUUCAUGUGUAACCAUUUUACAAGUAUAUAGAGAUAUUUUUCAAUAGAUCGAUUUUUUUUUUUUUUUUUUUUUGAAGAUAUUUUGACCAUACACAUUAAAUUGCUUAAACUGUAUUUUAUAAUUUUUUUUUUUAUGUUAUAUAACUAUAUUCAUUGUGUAAAUACAGAGUCAUCCAUUCAUAUACUGAGUAAUAACUAAUAAUUAUUGUUAUGCAAUUAUAAUAUCGAUUACUUAAUCGAUAAAUGUCUUUCUUCAUUUAGAUUCUUAGCCGGUUAAGGAAUGUAUUUUUUACAUUUUAUAUUUUAUAUUUACAUUUUUUAGUUUUACAAUGAUGUUAAUUUUAUUUUUUUGUCUGUGAACAACUUUUCUACAAGAUAUCUUGCUACAAUUUAAAAUGAUAGCAUUUUUUCUAAAAGGAAAUCUGAAUAGGGUAGUACUUUAGGAUGGUCAUCUUUUGAUUUUCUUAGGAGUUUUUCCUAUAAAUGAGAAAAAAAUGAAAAAACACGAAAAUAAAUACGAAACUAAACAAAUAUUAUUGAGGAAAAUAUUUAAUGCAUAUGUUAUUAUUUCACCAUAAUAUGACAUAAAUAUUGCUGACAAAGCAGCACCUUACCUAACCUAACCUAACCGAAUUCCGUUCAGAAUCAUUUUUCGUUAGCAAUGAUUAAUAAUUGCGUGCAUAUAUAUAAAUUCAAUUUCCUCUCUACCUUCCCAACUUUUCACCUAUAACAGUAACCCACCCACGUGUGAAGAAUGUCCGUCUUUUUUUUAUUGCCCCUGUUAACUAUCAUAAAUGAAGUAAGGUAAUAGAAAUUAAACUAAGAGAAAUAAAGUGAUACUACUCACGGAGAGGCCACUGUUGUGUAUGGUCAGUUUGGAAGGUAGGUUAUAUAGGAUCAUUUAUUGUAUACACUAUAUGCAACGAUAGAUCGAAUCAAACGAAAAACGAUUCUGAGUUGAAUACCAUUAGUCGAUUUUUUCUCUUAAUUAAUCCCGAGGUAACAGAAAUCAGCAAAACAUGAUCAAUAUAUUCCCCAUUUUUACUACGUUUUCCCAGUUAUUAGGAAACAUACAAGGAAAAUCAAAACUAGAUUACGGGUAAAAAAGUUGUAAAAUGCUGAUACUGGGAACGGAUGUGCACUGUUACACUGUUAUAGGUAGGAAGUUAGAAAGAUAGAAAACAUUAAGUUAUUUAAGCAUAUCAACAGCAACGAUAAACCAUUGCUAACGAAGUUUGAUUAUGCAUAUUUUAAAAGGCCGUAAUAUUUAUGAUUUUCGUCAAAAUUUGAUAAUAAAAUUCUUAUUAAAAAAAAAAAAACUUUAAACUCAGUUUUAGAUUUUGAGCGGAGCGAAUUUUACUAUGAUGUUUAUUUUUUUUUAUACUAGGUACAAACAUUCUAUCGGAAAUCUUGCUCUGAUAUAUAUGUGCGACACCUUUUCUGAAAGGAAAUAUUAUUUAAAUAAUACUUUAAGGAAAUUUUUUAUUUUUCAUAACAUCUGGAGAAAACCAGGAUAAAACGUAAAAAAAAUGGGAAAUUUACGAAAAUAAUGUUUUUAUUAUUUUCAAUUUUGUUAUUCGUUGUAACUCUGUUAAAAAUAUUUUUAGAGACUUAAAAUUUUAAUAAAAUACUUAUUUUUAGCCUUUUAUUUGCCUUUUCUAGACGUGGUAAAAUUUUCAAAAAUAUAGCCAUUUUUGAGCUAUUAAUAGACAUUUUAAUUUUGCGAGUUUUGUACGUAAUUUUUUUUCGGUAAGUGGUACUCUUUGGUAAAAUUAUGUAUUAUGUACCUGAAUUGCCGGUUUAAGACUUAGCUUCAAAAUUAAAGCUUUUUGAAAUUUUGAUAUUAUGUAUGUUAUGUCAAAUAACUCUAUAUUGACAAUUUUUAAGCAUGUCUGUCGCAGUCUAGUGGUGGAACAAACCGGUUGUCAUCCUAGAGAUCCCGAGUUAAUACUCGUGUUCCGUAAACAAAUGUAUUUUGGGUGUACUUAGACAUUGCCAAGACAUUGCUCAUCGAACUAUUUUAUUGAAAAAUACUCCUCUAUUUGUUAUGCAAACUUUUCUACUCGAAAUCUUGCUCCGAUAUAUCAAGUGUAAUAUCUUUUCUGAAAGGAAAUUUUAUAAAAAUGGCAAUUUAAAGAAAUCGUUUUUUGAUUUUCCAGGAGUUUUUCCAAUAACUGGAGAAACCCAGGAAAAAACGGAAAUUUUUCGAAAUGUAGUAAUUAGUAAAAAAUAUUACUGCUCUUCUUUUCUUGAGAACAUUUUUUUUUCUGCCACUGUUGUAUGUUAGAAGUUGGGAAAAUAGUAGAGGGGAAACUUAAUGCAUAUCUGUAUGCAACGAUUGACCAUUGCUAACGAAAAAACGAUUCUGAGCGGAGUUCUGUUUAUAGUGUUGAUUUGUUAACAAAAUAUACAAAUCAUAUUAUGAUAAAAUAAUUGCAUAAUAUACAUUAUAUACUUUGUUUAAUAAUAUUUGUUUAAUAAUUUAUCUAUUUCCCCGUUUAUCCUACGUUUUUUUUCCCCGGUUUUCCCACAUUUUUUUCCUUUUUUCCCCCAUUUAUUGGUAAAAUUCCUGGAGAAAUCAAAAAAUAGCCUCCUAAAAGCACCACCUCAGUCAGAUUUCCUUUCAGAAAAAUUACUAUCAUUGUAAAUCGAAGCACAAUUGCUGGUAGAAAAGUUGUCCACAGAAAAAAUUAUAAUAAUAUAAAUCAUUGUAAAAUCUACAUUCAGCACAUUCCUCGCUCCACUCAGAACCUUAAACUUAAAACAAUGAAAUCAUAACGCCGUAAAUUUGACAGUUUCCAUUUUACGUUUUUUUUUUUUUUUUUUUUUCAUUUUUUCCCUAUUAUUGUGAAAACCCCAUUUAAAAUCAAAAAAUUACCUGCUUUAAGUCCCAACUUAAUAAAAUUUCUUUUCAGAAAAGAUGAUAUACUUGAUAUAUCGGAGCAAGAUUCUUGUUAAAAAUUGUGUACACAUAAAAAUAAAAUUGUUAAAAAUAAACAUCAUUAACAAAUAACUAAUACAUUCCUCGCUAUACUCAAAAUCUAAAAAAAAAUAUGUCUUCGUACAAUCAAAUAUAUACAAUUAUUAUUAUUAUUAUUAUUAUAUGCUGUUGUAAAAACAUAUCAGUACCAAUAUAAAAUCCAUUGAUUAUUAAUUAAACCUUUUUGUUUUCAUUGUGACCUUUCAAUAAAUUAUCUUAUAUUACGAUCGUGUUACGCUGCCGUUAUCAUACACUACAGUUAUUUAUUUACAUACGUAUAGAUACUUCAAUAAACAACUAUUUUCUAAAACGAUAAUUCUAUUCAGACAUUAUCUGUAUUUUUAUCUUUUUUAGGAUAAAAUAUAUAAUUUUAAUGUCAAUUCGUUUUCCAGUGCACAGAAAUAUUAGAUAGUUAUUCUCAUAUGAGUAUAAUAAUAUACCAAUAUCCAUUAUAAUCAAUCGUAUUCAUUUAUACAGAGUGAUGAAUCUGUCAUAAGACACUCAUUAUCUCGGAAAUUAUGUACUUUUUGGAAUUUUUUUUUUAAAACUUAAGCAACAAAUAGUUCUAAAAUGUUACUUUAUCUUUUUUUUUGUCAUCCUUAUUUUUGGAAGUAAAACGAAUACCUACUUUUGAUUUUUAAAUGACCACCUACAAAAAAAUUCCAUAAAUACAUGUUUUGAUGAUAUAUAUUUUGUUACAUUCACAUUGUAAUUUUUAAAUACUUGGUUUAUCAAAUUUAUUUAUUUAUUUAUUAUGAUUUAUUUUGAUUUUAUUUUUUAGUAACUUAAUAAUAUUAUUAUACAUUUGGAAGUCUGGUUUCUCUUAUUGUUGUUAUUUAUACAGGAAGUGAGAUUGUUGAUUAGGAAACUAUUAUAUUUGGUGCUGAUGUAGUUGAUGUUAUUUUUAUUUUUAUUAUUUGUGAUGUUAACAUUAUGUUUGUAUUUAAUAUUUUAAUUUAUUUUAUUAAUGGUUUUUAAGUUAUAACCAUUAAUUAUUGCAAUUUUUUUAUUGUUUUUAGUUUUUAUGUGUAGUAGUUAUUGUUCAAAGGUAUGCUUUCUAAUCCAUGUAUCAUUGACCUAAAAUAUGUUCAUUUUUGUGUAAAAGGAUGAUUGGAAUCAUUAGGAAUUAUGGCAUCUGUUUGUGUGGGUUUUCUAUAGAUAUUAAACUCAAAUUUAUUAUUAAUAAUUUUAAUGUUAAAGUCUAGAAAGUUUAAUUGAUUAUUAUUUUGUAUUUCUAUAGUAAAUUGUAUAUAUUUAUUUAAUUUGUUAAAUCACUAAUCAUAUUCUGUGCCUAUAAAUAUUAUAAAGUGCUAUCUACAUAUCUGUAAUAUUGUUUAAGUUGGGAUUUUUUAUAAUGUGUUUGUUUUCAUAAUUUUGCAGGUAUAAUUCUGAAAGAAGAGCACUUAAUGGACUAUCAAUAAUUAAAUCAUCUGGUUCUGUAUACA
rnacentral:lncRNA from 1 species